AAUUAAAAAAAUUACACAAAUCGAACUUAAAAUAAGCCAACCAGUACUCCCGGAAGGGUUUUUACGGACAGAAAUCCAUGAUUAAAUUAUUUAUAUUUGCUCUUUUCAAUUAUUCGAACUAAUUUUAAAUUGAGUUUUGCCUUUUAUUCAAAAGAUCGUAUAUCAAAAGUUUUCUGUACAUGCGCUUUUCAAUAGUGUUAGCAGUCGUUUAGUCCAGUCAUUAGGGUAUACGUAAGAAACUGGAAAAUUCCACAUUAGCUAAUUAAUGGCGGAUGUCUUUGUAUUAGCGUUAAUGUUUCCCGAAAGUCUAUUGUUUAUGCCGGUUCGGUAGUUAUCAGUAUAGUGAAAUCAGAGAAAGAAGAUCUGAUUUUCUCACUGUGGUGUUAUUCAGGGAUAAAUAAAUGGGAUAAAACAUUUUGUUUGAUGUGAAGCCUUACCCUGGAAAAUUACCGGUGAAUCAUUACGUUCGGAAUAUUAUACCACAACUUUUGGCAUUGCUUGCUGUGAGGCAUCGAUUGCGGAAGUCCUGUUUCUUUCCACAUGAAAAAACGUGAAAAUGCCCUUUUCCCCGUGGAUGCAGAAAAAUUUGUUCUCAAUUGAGUACUAAAUAAUGGAUUCACAGCAAUCAAUUGUAGAACCUGUCAGUAAUGGGCAUGGAAGCUAACAAGUAUUCCAAGUGGAGAACAUAGGACCACUAGGGCAUCAAGGGAUUAGAUUAAAAUUGUCUUUCUAAUAUCAAGGACCAGGGCAAUCCAUUCCACCAAUAUCGGUCCAGUCAAGGCACAGGCACUUCAAGGAAAUGAAUAUUGUACCACUGUAUGCUGUGGGGGCUGUAUGGGGCAUUGAUCGUAGCAGUCCUGUUUCACUCCAUACCAUAAAAGUGCCUUUUUUCCACUGGGUAUAGAAGAACUUGUUCUCUAUUAGUAAGGAAAGAGUCCUCAGCAACUAA